rnacentral:rRNA from 1 species
AACGAACGCUGGCGGCGUGCCUAACACAUGCAAGUCGAGCGGGAAAGUUCCCUUCGGGGAGCGAGUACAGCGGCGCACGGGUGAGUAACACGUAGGUAACCUACCCUGGAGACCGGGAUAACCUGCCGAAAGGCGGGCUAAUACCGGAUGAGACCACGAGGGCUGCGGCCCUUGAGGAAAAGAUGGCCUCUACUUGUAAGCUAUCACUCCGGGAUGGGCCUGCGCGCCAUUAGCUAGUUGGNGAGGUAC